UCUCCAUGAGAGAAGACACAGCACGUGCUGAUCUUAACGGACUGUCAAUGCCCAAUUGGCAAUCCUAUGAUCAGGAACGUUUAGGAUAUGUAUACGAAAGAGAAUGGUCUCAUGAAUCUAACUUCCUUAAAUUACAUUCUCCUAAUUACAUAUUCCUUGGACUUAUCGUUUAAGCAUAUAACAUUUAUAUGAGACAGCUUAAAACAAUAAUCUUUGCCCUUGAUAUUAAACUAGAUUAGUUUAACAUGUGAAAUGUCCGUAAAGUAUCAUCAUAUGAUUGGUUCACAUUUCUAACAGUGACACUUUGGUCGGCACACACCCUUGACCUUAGGCUUGCUCACGGUUGUUAUCUGACUCGCAUGUUGCUUGGAUGUGCUUCCACCAUUAACAAGAGUGUGCAAAUUUGGUUCCAACAUAUAUUGCACUCACGAGUGUGAUUCCUAUAUAAUAUAUGACAAUAGAGAGAAUAGAUAAUAAUCAUAAAAAAUAGAGGGAAAAAAUAGACGAGUCUCAUACUUUAUAUAUAAAUUUUACAUAUCAAACUCACAUUACCAUGAAAAUAGUGUACGAAUGAACUUAUAGUGUAUUUCUUAUAGAUUGACAUCACACUCACCUAAUUAGAUGUGGAAGACCUAAUGGGAGAAAGAUUAGGCUAACUGUAUAUGUCAUAGUUAUUCAAAUGAAUCGAACAAAAGACGUCUAACCUACAAAUCAUAGCUAUACGGUAAUAUUAGUUGAUACCUUGACCAAUACUAUGGACGAAGUGUAUCAAAAGCAUUUCAAUGUGCCCAAAUUUAGGGUGGUAAAAUGUAAAACUUGUUGUGACAUAUGUUCUAAUACAUAUUGUGAUUGUGUAAAUCCCAAGUAGAGAUACAUUAGGAAUCCUUUGGGAUCUAGAAGAUCUUCCCUAAUAGACUUUGUAUUAUUUGGAGAGCAAGUUUCUCUCCUCCUUAUUACUAUAAAUAAAGGCACGAGGACUGGGGAAUUAACACACAAUUCCUUAAGCCUAUUCUCCAUUCUCUUUCUCUCUAUGUUGCACCCCUCAGUUAAAUUUAGGCCAUAACACGUUAUCAGCACACUCUUCAUGAUGUGCUAAAGAGAAUUUAUUCAUCGUCAAUCAGGGGAGUAUUACGUUUCAAUUAUUUUAGUUGACUAAAUUUUGAUUUUAUUGAAUUCAUAUAUUUUUAUUGAUUCAAUGUUUUUUUUUCUUGUGCUGAACAUGAUACAAGUUUUGAAGAUAGAAAGAUGAAAUUGAAGAAAUAAUUUUCUGCAUCAAACCAGUUCAUCAAUAUCAUCACGUAAUCAAGUUCUUCCAAAACAACGGUUUUUAUCUUGAUUUUUGCUGACACACCCUGAUCUUAGAAUCAAGGCGUGCUGGCCGUCACGUGAGCGUGACGUAACCAAAGGUACGAUGCGGAAGUAAAAGAUAAAAGAAUUACGAAGGAAUAAAAACCAACUACUAGCAAUAAUAACCAACUAGCAUACUAGAGUGAGUUUAAGUGUGAAACACACAUAUUCAGAGCAUAAGUACUAGGUGCAAUCAAGUAGGACCAUAACUAAAUUACAACACCCGGAGGUGAGUCCUACAUUUAUGUAGUCCGUUAGUAAGCCAUGGAAAUCCUCAUGGGCCACCAACACCGCUAACUAGAACCUGGAGGGGCGCAAAACAAAAUUGAGUGGGUCAGUAAAACAAAGCUUUUCGAAAACAUUUCAAAUAAUAACAUUUCUAACCCCUCGCUGUAAAACCUGUAUACUUUCCUAGAAAAUAACAUAAUAUGCGUAUAAUUCUUCAAAUAUCUCAAAUCACCAAUCUUUAUGAAAACCAGAAAGUAUGCCAUGCAAUAAGCGGCAAUAACAAAAUAAGGAUGGAACAUUAUAACAGGUGAAAUAAGGAAUCAACCGGAGACCCUACAGUUGGUCCUGUAUGGUUAAUUCUAUAGCUCAAUAUCCAACCAACCGGAGUCACCACAGUGACCUGUACGGCACUACUCUGCACAUACAUCGGAACUACCUGAAGUAGUUUGUACGAUAAGAAAGGUGUAAGAAUACGCUCUAGUGCUUCUCUCAUCAACAGCUGUAUAAUAAUCUAAAAUCACCUCCAAGUCGGAACCACCUCUCAUGGUCUGUAUGACAUGUCGGAACCCUUUAAUGGUCUGUACGACAUGCACCUACUUGGAUCCAAGGUGAGCGUGUGGUGUGGGGUGAAUAAUAUAAGCACUAAC
rnacentral:lncRNA from 1 species